ensembl:lncRNA
ACCGACACCGAAACUACAAUGUCAAGCAUUUACGGGACACCGAGCUCCUCCGCGUUCAAGGACCCGUCCUGAUUUCUUAAUAUACGCGCAAAAUCUACGAACAAUCCGAUGAUAUUCCUGGAAGCAAAAGAUUGAGAUGAUGCAUCAUCUUUCAGACAAGGUGGAAGUGUGAGUGAGUCAGGGAGAGAUGGAGGUGAUUAGAAGAAAAGACUCCGACUCAAACGGCCUCUUCUCAGACAACUCGGACAAUGACUGUGAGGUAUGAACGCCAUUAUUGGAAAGGUAGGAGUGCCAUUAUUGGAGCUGCACAUGUUCGCUUUCUCUUUCUGUAGGACAUGGGGGCUUGUGGACAGACGACUGGAGUGUGUUUGUGUGAAAAUACCCCCUUUACCAGCUUCUGUGAUCAGCACCCUAAGGAGGACUCCAGUGUGAAGUGUGUCCAGUGCGGUAAGAACAGACCCAUGAUCACCAGAUACUCAGAGGGUUACGGCACAGAGGAGGAGUGUGUCCAGCCUCAUCUUCAGGGAGACAGCGACGCAGACGCAGACAUCGAGGACACAGACAGCAGGUGUGUGAUUGACAAACCCACGCAUGUGCUACACCGCGUCCACUUCUUCAGCUCGCUUGCUGCUUUGUGAUUCGUUCAGGCUCCAGAUUGUGGGUUCCCUCCAGCGAAUCAGCUCCCGGAAGAGAAAGCGUCAGCGAAUCAC